UAUAAUCAUGGGCCAUUGCUUGACCUUCACAGAGAGUCUGGUUAGUAUCAAAAGACAUUGUCUGAUACCCAGAGUGAGUUUGUUUAGAUUUGUGGGCCAUUGUUUGACCCCUAUAGAGACUCUGAUUAUUGUCAAAAGGCAUUGUCUGACCCCCAGAGACAGUAUGGUUAGUAUCAUGUGGCAUUGGUUGACCCCUAUAGAGGGUCUGGUUAGUAUCAAACGGCAAUGGCUGACCCCCAUAGAGAGUCUGGUUUCCAUUGGGAACCGUCAUUUGAUUAUUAUAGUAGGCCUGAUUAGCACUGAGGAUUUUCACCUUAUCUCUGUAUACAUUCUGGUCAUUGUACGUUUCCACCUGAUUUCUAUAGACUGUCUGGUCACCAAUAGCAGUUGUCACCUGAUUUCUAUUGACUUUCUGCUCACUAUUGAAGGUCAUCAUCUGGUGCCCAUGGUAAGUCUGAUCGGCAUUGGAAGUUACCACCUGACCCCAAUCGGAAGCUUGGUUAUCCUCAGAAAUGACUGAACAGUCUUCAAAUGAGGAUUGGUAACCACUGAAGCUCACCACAGGACCCUCUGUAAGAGUUGCUAGCUGAUUAUCAUAAAUGGUGUUUAUCUGGCUGUCUUCAAUAGGGCUUGUCACCUUGGUUCCAGUGGCUGCUGUCUUCUGGUAUGUAGUGAGUAAGGACUUGGAGCUGUCCUGGCCAUGGGUCAGCUGGGUGCUUGCUGUGGAGAGCAUGAUGUCAACAGGCACCAUUUCUUGGCUCAUAGGAACAGCCUUAUGUGGCUGUGCAGGGGGUUUACCAAGGGCUGUUGCAGGGUGCAUUGUUGUGACUGUGUGAGGGACAGAAGAAGAUUCAGAGGUCAUCACAGUGGAACUGCAGGAAGUCAUGACUCUGGGCUGACUUGUGCUGGCUGUCCUGUACAGGGGCUCUGAGAGACUGGGAUGAAGACCUGAAGCUAAGCUGGAGCUCUGCCCUGGUCCUUCUGUGGCAGGAAGACUUGGAGAAACUCAAUAGCCCCAGAAGUUUGGAGGAUGGAGAAGAUAAAGAGACAGGCAGGGCUGGCACCUACGGUUAACUUCAGAGCUCAGAUACAAGAGAUGGGGAACCCUGAACAUGAGUCCAGUCUGGUCAGCACAGUGAGAUCCAGAACACAGAGGACCACAGAGAAACCCGGUCUCCAACCAACCAACCAACCAACCAAUCAACCAACCAACCAACCAACCAAUCAACCAACCAACCAACCAACUAAUCAACCAACCAAGUAAAUAGCCAGGGUGUCUCUGUAGCCCUGGCUAUCCUGGAAGUCCCUCUGUUGACCACUCCACGCUCCAAUUCAGGGAUCGGCUUUGUUUGCCUCUGCCUCCCUCGUGCUGGGAUUAAAGGUUUCGUCACCACUGCCAACUGAAAUUGUGUGAAUAAGAUAAAGUUUUGUGAGAAGCCCUGUGGGUGGGGCAGCAGGUCCUGUGGGUGGGGGCAGGUUGCAUGAUGGGAUUAACUUAAACCUAGUGGUGGUGGCUCCGACUUCUAACCCCACCCACAUGAGGCAGAUGCUGGUGGUCUGUGGAUUUGAGCCACCCUGGCCUAAAGACUAAAUUCCAGAUGGCCUGGGAGUCAUCUCGAUGCCUGCCUCGAGAAAAACAACAAACACAAAAAUGAAACAAACACACACACAGCUUAACCAACCAAACACCAGAGCAUAACUAUUCCAAACCAAUAGACCUCAAGAGCCAUCUUCUGUGGCUAAUGAAAGACUCCAGUUCAAGCGGACCCAACUCUCUCUUUUGUCCCUCAGAGACACAUACACUCAUUUUCAUCAACUAGGAAACAUGAUAUUUUAAUUAUACAAUAUAUAACAAAUAUAAUACUUAAUAUUCAUAUACAAUAUUAUAUAUACUCUGUAUUCUAUUAUACAUAAUAUAUUUUAAAAUGAAUAUAUAUUAAAAACAAAAAAUAAAUAUUUUAAAAUAGAGACCCAGAAGAGCAUCUUAAACUUCCUCUCUCAUGACUCCAACUCACAUUCCCAGACAGUCAGGCUGGACCCACCCUAGGGUGACAACUCUAAUUUGUACAAAGUGGACCUGCCAGAUUUGGAUGAGUAUCUGAGAAAAUGGAAGCAGGGAAGGAAUUCUGGUGCACACAACAGCACAGGCUCUGGUCUGUAACCUUCAGGCCCUCAGGAUGCACAUGGUUCUGACCUCCUGUACCUGAGGGACCAUUAACACAAGUACUUUCCUAGGCCAGACCUGGUGGCCCACAGCUUUAAUCUCAGUCCGUGGGAGACAGUGGAAGAUGUGUCUCUGUGUCUGAGGCUAUCCUGGUUUACAUAGCGAAUUGCUAUAGAGGAGAAUUCUAUCCCCAAAAUGACUAUUUGAAUUUGUAUUUAUUUUUGAGACUGUGUGUCUACAGAGCCCCGGUUGACAUGAAAUUUACGCGGUGGAUCAGGCUGGCCUUGAUCCAUCUGCCUCUGACUCCUCUCCGUACUUCAGAAAUUAACGACAUUGGCCACCGUGCCUGGCUUCAUUUUAUUAUUUUAAAAAUUAUUAUUUCAAAACUCCGUGUGCAGACCAGGCCAGCAUGAAAAUCAUAUCUUCCUGCUUCUGUCUCAAGUGCUGGGACUUGAGUUGUGGUCACCACACUCGCAGCCUGGUCUCUUUCUGGAUCAUGAGUCCUGGCAUUGUGGGCACAUUUGAGGCCUGCUGAAGGGCUGAGCUGGCACUGCAUCUUGCAAAGACAGUUGUGAUGAUUACAAUUGUUUUGAUUACAAUUCCACAGCACAGGCUCCAACACAGGCUGCGUUUUUCUCGUGCAUAACACCCCCCUGGCUCUCAGCAUACCUGCCCCUGACCUCUGCAGAGACUUCUCUCUGCCUCACUACUGGCAAUUCUGACCUCCCCUUCUUUAGAAGUUCCAGCCCAGGUUGAUCACUUUGCCAAUGAGAAUGGAGACUUACCGAAGCCGAUCCAGAGAGUGGUCUCCGAUGGUAACCACGAGCUCAAGUGAUCUAGGUGGAUGGGAGAAACCCCUUCAGAAGGCUUUGACUUUUAUGGGGUCUUGCGUGGACCACCCCCUUUGUGGGAGGAGCCUAGUGAAGUCCGUGUCUACCUAUCAACCGGUCGGGGCCUUGGGAUUUUUGAAUUUGCUAGCAAGAAGCCUUGGGGCAGUGGUUUUCAACAGGUUUAUGCUAACGCUUUUGCAGGGCUGAACCGCCCUUUCACAAGGAUCGCAUAUUUGAUAUCCUACAUAUUAGCUGCAUUACAAUUCAUAUCAGUAGGAGAAAUUAUACUCAUGAGCCGAAAUAAUCUUAUGGCUGCUGGUCACCACCGAAGAACCGUAUUAAAGUGUUGCAGCCUGACGAAGGCUAACAGCCAUGGUGUCUCUUCCCGGAUUGCACUGCAUACAGCUCAGCGUAUUGCCCGUUCCAUCCCUCCUUGUGGGUUUUAAAGCAGUCAUCCUGUGACGGGAAAGUUGAGAACGAAGGUCCUAAAGAACUGCCUAUGAGUCAAGCACGGUGGUGCAGGCCUUUAAUUAGAGCUCUCCAGAGGCAGAGAGGCAGGGGGAUCUCUGUAAGUUCAAGUCCAGCCUGAUCUGCAAGACGAGUCCAGAGCAGCCAGGGAUACACAGAAAAACUCGGCUGGAAAAACAAAAACCAAACCCAAGCAAAAAUAACCUAUUGGUUGUAGAUUUGAACCCUGUAACUUACUUCUCAUGGGUUGAGGGUUUAGGUGAACCUAUGACCCGAAUUUUUAGUGCGCUUAAAGAAGAUUUCAUCUCGUGAAUUGUUGGGGUAAUCAAAACAGUUUCUCGUCAGAAACACUGAGAAUCCGGCCAUUUCCCCUCAAUAAUAACGCAGGUUCUCGGUUGUUUGUUAAUUGAUUCGUUUUUGCUUUUCUUUGUUUCUUAGGUUGGUUGGUUGGCUGGUUUUUCUACACAGGAUUUCUUUCUGUAGCCCCUGGCUGGCCUGGAGUUCGCUCUGUAGAAGUGGCUGGUGUUGAACUCAAGAGAUCCCCCUGCCUCUGCUAUUCCCAUGCCAGCACCAGCAUCCAAUGGAACCCUUCUGUUCUACUGGGUUCUUGUGUGGUUCAAACCCUCUCUUUCCACAUCUAUCUGGUUUGUUCUAGCCAGAAUUGAGUGGGUACAUAGUAGUCUCCCACUCCUGUAACAGACUUUUCUGUUUUCCCUUCAAUUCUGCCAGAAUUUCCUCCAAUAUUUUUCAUAUAUUUUGUAGUUCAUUAGAUGCAUGACUGUUUAGAACUGUUUUCGUUUCUAUCGAGAGCCCUUCAUAUAAUCUUUGGGAAUCAUGGGGUGGUGGCUCAUGUGGUUAAAAGUGCUGUCUGUUUGUCACAGGAACCCAGAUUGGAUUCUCAGCCCCCUUAAGGUGGUUCAUGCCUUUGUAACUGCAAUUCCAGAUUAUCCAACACACUCUGUCUGUACUCUGGCAUGUACAGACAAACUGGCAAACACCCAUAAACAUAAACUAAAAACCUAAUAAAAAAUAAAAACCGUACAGCUGAUUUCUGAUUUUAUAUUUGCGAACAUAGUUUAUUUACAUCUUAAACUGUUUAACUGUCAAGAAGGAACAUAAUUCUAUCAUUGGUCUAUCAUUGGUUACAUCUUCUGUGGGCCUAUGGCUUCUCUUCCCAUGCUCCUAUUUCCUUUUGUGCUUUGCUGUCUUUUUGUGGUCAAAGAUUUUAAUCCCAUAUAUGAACAUGUGGCCUACAGACACACACACCCCUACACCACACACCACAGGACAAACCACGCAUACACACACACACACACACACACACACACACACACACACACACACACACUAUACUCUCUUUGCGUACUUGAUAAACGUGUUCCUGGGGAGUUACACUUGACAUCCUAGAUUUGUAACAUCUACUUUGAAUUUAAGGCAUCCUAACUUCACUAACAGAGAAUCAGCUUUCCUAGUGCCCCGUCCCCAUCAGGUUUUACUUUUAUAUGCUACAAAAUUACACGUUUAUGGGUAGUGUGUUCACAAUCAUGGUUUCUCAUUUUUAAUGGACGACUGGACUAAUUGUAUGGCCUCUGGGUGCUGCUCAGCCUUCUCCCUCUCUUCCUGGGCGCUGAGGAUCAAACACAGCCUUCCAUUCCACGGAACUCCAUACCCUGCAUUGCAGACCUGAGAAUGGGGUUACUUGACCGACUUUACUCCUUUGGAGAGGACCAAGUUACCGCCUGUUCCUUUGUGAUUGCCCUCAUUGAAUCUGCCCCAGUGGCAACAUUGGAUCUCGGAUCCUCUUUGCCCGGGGGGGACUGCUUUAUCCAAUCUUUGCUCAAUUCUGCACAUCCACUUUCGUCUUUGUCCUUUCUUAUUCGAUUGUGAUGUAUGAUGGUCUACGUGUUACCCAGGACAGCCAGGGUUACACAGAGAAAUCCUGUCGCAAAAAUCCCAAAACCAAAAGCUGAAAAACAAAUAAACAAACCAAAAAAAAUCAUCGUUUACGAAAAAAGGGAGGCAUGGAAGGCAUGUAAACCAUGCAGAAGGUCCUGUAAAGCCAUGAGAGGGAGGGCGGAGAGACACCUCUGUCAGCAUAGCGGCCAUGUCAGCACAUCUGCACUUGAAGUCAGUCCUUGCCUGCAGGCAUUUGCUCAAAGCUGGAGCCAUGUGUAGCCUGGCUCAGAACUAGGCCAGAGCACUGGCAGCAUGGAGAAUCCAGGUCUUGGUGCCCAGCUCGGGAACCCACUGAGCAGACGCUGUGGGGAAUCAGAAGAAGCCUGACAUGCGCAGAUGAGCUCAUCUCGAGUUCAGAUAAACACUGCAGACAGCUGGAAGCUCAAGCAGGAAGCUGGGUGUGGAGGGGUCUGCCUGCCUGGAAGAGCUGCCCUGAGCAGUCUAGAGAGGCUAGGGAACGUUUGAGCAGGGAUCUCAGCCAGAGGCAGGGUGCAGAGGUGGAGCAGGCUAAGAGCCUCCUGAAAUGUGACAUAUAAAAGCAUUACACAGAGCAGAAGGGACGUGAGAGACAGAGAAGCUGCACAUGCCCAGGGCACUGGGUUGUCAACCUUUCCAAGGCUGCAAUCCUUAGCACUGAUCCAAAUGACCAUUGGGUACUUUCUGUCCUUGUCCCCCACUGAGUCAUCAUGGCCAGCAGAGGAGAUCUGUGCCAUCUCCAAUGCCACCAGAUCAAUGGAACUGGCAAGUAGAAAUGUCCCCGAGAUGUAGAUCCAUGUCCUGCCUUUCUAGAGCAGACAGCCAGGAGCUAGAGCACUUGUUUCCUAGGCUUAGCAUAUUUUCUCCUCCAGGUAGGCCUCUUCUUUCCCUUAAAGGGCUUUGAUGUGCUUCUGAUAAGCCAUUGCCUCAGGCUGCUUACUCACCCUGGGUCCCAUUCCCAGUGUCUGGCUCAUUAGAGAUCUUUAUGGCCUUGGGCUCUAAAGAGCAGAGGGCAGAAUGGAAGAGCUCACUGGGUGGAUCAGUUGCAUCCAAGAACAGGAAAGCUGCUCCUGGGGAAGCCUGAAGGGCUUAGCUGUCUGCCCCAUGCUAUCCUGUGUACACAGGGCCCAGGGUGGACGGCUUUAUCCAGUCAUUGCACACCUCUGAAGAUUCACUUCCUGCUUCGUAAUUUCUUAUUUAAUUGUGUUAUGCAUUGGUAUUAAUAUAUUCCCAUCAGUUGUAUUUCCAUUUAAAAUAUCAUGUAUUUAUCCAGACCGAGUGGCACACACCUUUAACCCAGCACUCGGGAGGCAGAGGCAGGCAGAACUCUGUGAGGUUGAAGACAGCCUUGUCUAUAAAGAUAAUCCAGGUCAGCCAGGGUGACACAGAGCAAUCCUACCCCAGAAACUUAAAGUCAAAUGAGAAACAAACAAAUCAUUUGUUUAUUUUAAGAGGGAGGCAUGGAAGUUCUGUAAACAACACAGGGGUUCCUGUAAUUUCUCUUUCACAUCUCAGUCCUCAUGCUCUGACAAUAUCACUAUUUCUAAGUUAAACAAAAGUCCGGGUCGUGGGCUACUGAUAGUGAGAACAGAGGAAUCUAACGGGAGAAACUAAUGCUUCCAACACAGACCCUCAGUGGAAAACUGCUUAUGUGCAGGCAAAGAGGUGUUUGGAAGAGGGGCGGGGAAGGCCUCAGUAGCUUGGCUUCUCUCAUCACUGGAUCCUGAAUCAGACUAUGUCUAACUCCCCAUCCCUCAGGACCUGCAUACUUGUGUCUGGUUUUGAGGUUGUCUUAACCCUCGGCCCAGGUUCCUCUGAAUUCACCACUCUCUUACCCCAUCCUCCUGAAUUAUAUGAGUGUUCACCAUACCCAAGGCUCACUCUGGUGUUUUGUUUUGUGAGACGGUGUCUCACUAUGCAGCCCAGGCUGGCCUUGAACUUAACAACAGCUCGGCCUCCAGCUUUACUGAGUACUUAAGAUUCUUCAUUUGUUUAUAUGUGUAUGUGUGUGCAUAUGCUAUGUCCAUGUAGGUGCCCUUGGAGGUGUGAAGAGUGCGUGGGAUCCUCUGGAGCUGAAGUCAGAGGUCAUAAGCUCUUCAUUGUGGGUGCAUGGACCUUGGCACAGCAAGGGGACUUGAGCACUGAGCAUUGCUCUAGCCCUAACACAAGCUCUGAUACACAGUGACCCAAGCAAGUGUCCCUAAGGCUGCAUUUGGUGAAGGAAGGGCUCCCAGGAGAAGCAGUGAGGGAUGAGAAGCCAAAGUCCAGCUUGGGUGUGAGUUUAGAAGUUCUGGAUUCUCAGAGGUCCUGCUAAGGGUCUUGAGGUUAGAAGACGGGCUGUGAGAAAAUAAAACAUGCAGCUAAGAAGUCAGAAGUUUCAAAAAGCCCUAAAUACCCCAAAUUCCAGACCCUGCCCUCUACCUGUAAGUAAAAGGUCACAUUUCUUGACCUGCUCCCCCAGGAUCCAGAUAAAAGGGUUUAAGAUAAGGUCCUUAGAUAGUUGAUCCCGACCUAGUAAAGAAAGCUUCUCCUAAGAACUAGCGGACCAUAAAGUUAAGCAAUCUUGAGAGACGGGAAGCUUCUUGUGAUUUUCCAAUGAUACCACCCCUGCCCCCUUGGGUUGUGGUUUCUCCCUUUAAAUACCCUUUCUCCUAGCCUCUCGGGGUCGACACUUCUAUCUCCUGCGUGGGAUAAGUGUUGGCCCGGAGAUCUCCAUAAUAGGUCUCAGUAAUAAACCUCGCCUUUGCAUAUUACCUCCAAAAUGGUCUCUCUGUGUCUGGGGUCCGAGAUUUCCCGAGACUUGAGUAAGGGUCUCCCUUUGGGGAUCUUUCAUUUGGGGGCUCGUCUGGGAUAUUCGCGCCCACCCCAGACCCUGAAGACCCCUUGGAGGUGAGUUGGAUGUUUGUCUGAGUGUUUCUUUGUGAGUGGUGCCGCACUUGUCAGUCUGUGUCUGCUUGUCCACUGUCUAUCUGUUUCCAGUUGUCUCCGGGUGGGAAUGAUUUGGGGCAGCUGUCUCAGAGGUCUGUGAGGACCCCAAGACUGCAGGGAACAGACUUGUCUGGAACUGCAGGCUGCAACCCUGGGGGAUGCCUCGAGUAGUGGAGGGGCCCAGAAUGAACUGGUUGCCUCCUAUCUCCUCACUGUGAAGUGAGGAGAUUAGAGACCUUGCCGGGUGAUCUGGUUUUGGUUUCUUGUGGAACAGUCGCAGAGGACGACUAGUUUUAGACAUCCUUGUCUCUCUUGUCAUUUUGUUAGUCUUCUGUGUUGGGCGUUUGUCAUACUUUUUAGACAGAAGGAAGAGUGAUGUGGAAUCUGCUCUCCCUCAUCUGUCUUUGGUGUCCCCUUGGUAAGGAGGAGUGAAGUGAAUCCGCUCCCCUUCACCUGUCUGUGGUUGAGAAGUAAGAGUGAUAUGGAAUCUGCUCUCCUUCAUCUGUUGUUGGUGAGCUCAGGGAAGCCCUUGUCUAAAUCAGUUCAGUUUGGUGGUGAUCUCACAGCGGCCGUUUGUUUUGUUUU